rnacentral:rRNA from 1 species
GUGAAAUCUCACGGCUUAACUGUGAGCGUGCGGGCGAUACGGGCAGACUAGAGUACUGCAGGGGAGACUGGAAUUCCUGGUGUAGCGGUGGAAUGCGCAGAUAUCAGGAGGAACACCGGUGGCGAAGGCGGGUCUCUGGGCAGUAACUGACGCUGAGGAGCGAAAGCGUGGGGAGCGAACAGGAUUAGAUACCCUGGUAGUCCACGCCGUAAACGGUGGGUACUAGGUGUGGGUUUCCUUCCUUGGGAUCCGUGCCGUAGCUAACGCAUUAAGUACCCCGCCUGGGGAGUACGGCCGCAAGGCUAGAACUCAAAGGAAUUGACGGGGGCCCGCACAAGCGGCGGAGCAUGUGGAUUAAUUCGAUGCAACGCGAAGAACCUUACCUGGGUUUGACAUGCACAGGACGCGUCUAGAGAUAGGCGUUCCCUUGUGGCCUGUGUGCAGGUGGUGCAUGGCUGUCGUCAGCUCGUGUCGUGAGAUGUUGGGUUAAGUCCCGCAACGAGCGCAACCCUUGUCUCAUGUUGCCAGCGGGUAAUGCCGGGGACUCGUGAGAGACUGCCGGGGUCAACUCGGAGGAAGGUGGGGAUGACGUCAAGUCAUCAUGCCCCUUAUGUCCAGGGCUUCACACAUGCUACAAUGGCCGGUACAAAGGGCUGCGAUGCCGUAAGGUUAAGCGAAUCCUUUUAAAGCCGGUCUCAG